GACGAACGCUGGCGGCGUGCUUAACACAUGCAAGUCGAACGGAAACGCCCUGCUUUUGUGGGGUGCUCGAGUGGCGAACGGGUGAGUAACACGUGAGUAACCUGCCCUUGACUUUGGGGUAACUUCAGGAAACUGGGGCUAAUCCCGGAUAGGAGCUCCUGCUGCAUGGUGGGGGUUGGAAAGUUUCGGCGGUUGGGGAUGGACUCGCGGCUUAUCAGCUUGUUGGUGGGGUAGUGGCUUACCCAGGCUUUGACGGGUAGCCGGCCUGUGAGGGUGACCGGCGACAUUGGGACUGAGGUACGGCCCAGACGCCUACGGGAGGCAGCAGGGGGGAAUAUUGCACAAUGGGCGGAAGCCUGAUGCAGCAACGCCGCGUGCGGGAUGACGGCCUUCGGGUUGUAAACCGCUUUCGCCUGUGACGAAGCGUGAGUGACGGUAAUGGGUAAAGAAGCACCGGCUAACUACGUG
rnacentral:rRNA from 1 species